rnacentral:lncRNA from 1 species
UGAAAUCUGGUAAUCAUACUUUGUCUUGAUUCUUAAUAACAAUUUAAGGUUCUUUAUGCCUGAUUUUUGGUUCAGAAUGUAAGGAUAUCAUAAUAUUGGUUUGAACUGAAUUAGGCCAUCGGAAGGGUUUGUGGAAUAUGGUGGUUGGAGUUGUGUUUAUAUGUUGAAGAGUGAGGGCUGGAAUGUUUGGGUCAUGGGAAACCUGGUCAUAAGAAUGGAAGAAAUAUACACAAGCAUACUAAUAUGGUCAAGUUACAAUCCUUUCAAUCUUUAAAAUUUCUUAAAAAUAUAUAAGUCAAUUUUAAAUUGCAUUGUAAUUCGUGUCUU